GGCAGCCUUGCGUCACAGGGCAGAGACCACAGUGCACCAUCGCCUAUGGGAAAAGCAGGCCUUUUCUUGGUGGGAACUGUCCCAGCACUGGAAUAUGAUCAUUCUUCUAUGAGCCAAGAAACACAGAGGCGGCCAGUUAUGGGCCGAAACCUCAAAAAGAGAUUUGAAAGUAUUAAAGAAGCUGAGAGUGGGAUUCACCACGAUACACACAUUUGUUGGGAAAGAGGACAAGGAGAAGUGGUGGUCGCUGCUAUGACAGCCAGGAGUGUCUCCAAGGAAUCGCUAUGCACUGCCAGCUAGAGGAGGGGAUAAAUCUUCUGGACACUGUGAAGCAGUAAGCUGUCAAACUAUUUUCUCAAGUGGCUGUAGCAUUUUACAUCCCCACCUGCAACAGAGGAAUACUGGCUAAUACCACAUCUGUCCACCAUCAGUUAAAGACAAGCUUUUUAAUUUUAGCCAUUCCCAUGGGCAGAAAGUGGUCUAUAAUUAUCCUCUUAACUUACAUUUCCCUAAUAACUAAUGAUGACAAGCAUCUUUUCAUGUCUUCGUUUCAUAUUCAAAUAACUUCUUUAAGAAAAUGUUUGUAUAAAACUGUUAAAUCUAUCCCAAAAUAUUUUACAGAAAAAAAAUUAAAGAAUUUAAUGAACCAUCACUUUGAAAUUGCAGCUUUUGUCUGAAUUGUGAUGUGACUCAGGU